CUCUGACGGCGAAUGCCAAAUCGGGGAGUUUUCAGGGUAAAAGUCACAAAUUCAGAUGUGAUGGUUGAGUAAAUCACUUUGCUCACUCAGGACAGAAGUGUGACCUGUACUUAAUGUAAACUCCCUGGAGCAUCACAAGGUGGGUUGGUGUAAUAAAUCUUUUCCCACACGUGGAACAGGUGAAUGUUAUCUCCCCAGUGUGAACUUUCUGGUAUGAUUGUGUGAAUCCCUUCCAAACUGAGAGCCAGUGAUUGACAUCUCACUGCUAUCAACUCUCUGGGAAUUUACCAGCUCAGAUCACAGACAUGUACACGUAUUUGGGUUCUCCUUGUUACAAUUGGUGAGUUGUCUUCCAAACAUCUCCUCCCCCACAUUCAGGGAUCGGUGGCUUUCAAAUGCUGGUGAACAGACAGACACAACAGAACGGACGAUCUGUUGUGUUUGAGAUUCCCAUGCACAAAUCCUUUGUCUUUUCUACCUUGUAAAAAGUUUACAGUGGACGUCUGUGGGUGAAGGACAACAUUUCAGAUAAUGUUAGUCCCUAUGGUGAUGUCUCAUGUCAAACCGUUGCAGUGAGGCUCAUCACAGUUUGGAGGAACACUUUAUCUUCUCACUGGACACAGUUCAGGCAUCUGGACGCAACUCAGAGUCAGCAAUGCCAUUGACCCUCAAGAGUAGAUGAUGAUUCUUUCUCUUUGGAGAUUGACUCUGUGUGGUACUUUUGUGGUGUGGUUGCCACUGGUCGCUUGUUACUCAGUACGUUGAUAUGUACCUGGAGAGAAUAGAAAACAAACAUGGUCUCAGUGGCAGACAGUCAGAACCACAGGAUGUUGAACAAAGUGAUUUCCUAAAUGAGCAAAAGUGACACAAUGAUUUGUCGACUGUCCACUCCUCCCAGAGACGCUUCCUGACCCGCUGAGUUCCCCCAGUGUUCGUGAGUGGCUGGAAUAAGUGGGUCGAUUUCAGACUGGAAGGAGGUAAUGCUUGGAGUACCCUAGGGAUCGGCUCUUGGCCUCAGUUGUUCACUGUUUAAUGACCAUGAGGAGGGAAGGAGAUGUGAGAUGUCCAAGUCUGCUAAUGACACAGAGACAGUGGAAGGAAAUCUGAUGCUGACAUUGUGAUUCUACAUCAAGUGAUUCAGAAGGCAGACUUACUGCACAGGGAAUGGAGUUUAUGAACGGGGCAGUGUAGUUACCAUUGUAGACGGUGUUGGUGAGGACACAUCUGGAAUUCUGUGCAUGGUUUUGUUCCCUGACCUGAAAGAAACAAUGAGAGUGACAUUGGAGUCAGUCCAGAGGAGAUUCAGCAGGGAAAUUCCUGGGAUGAUUUACCAGCAGAGGGAAGACAAUUUUGGCCAGGAUUUAUAGUCACAUACAGUCAGAAGGGGGCCUGAUAGAAUAUCUGUUGGUAUAUCUUGAUAGGCUAUUUCUCUUCACCACUGAGAGAGCCAUUGACCCGGGUCAAAUUUCUGGGACUGUAUGUGUGAGUGAACAAUCUCUGGGAUUCUCUGCCCCUGAGGAUGGGGAGGCCAGCUCACUGGGAAUAUUUGAAGUGGAGAUAGAUAAAUAUUUAAGGGAGUGAAGACCUGAGGAGAAGGGUGAUGGAACACAAGCUGGAAUCAGCAUAAAUCAGUCAUAAUUGUGAAUAACCAUAAGACAUAGGAGCAGAAAUGGACCAUUUGGCCCAUCACAUCUGCUAUGCCAUUUCAUUACAUUUGAUUAAUUAUCCCUCUCAAUUCUAUUUCCCUGCCUUUCCCCAUAACCCUUGAUGGCCCGACUAAUUAAGAACCUAUCAACUUCCACUUUAAAUAUAGCAAAUGACUUGGUCUCCACAGCUGACUGUGGCAAUCAAUUUCACAGAUACACAAUACUCUGGCUGCAGAAAGUCCACCACAUACCUGUUCUAAAUCGACAUCCUUCUGAGUCUCUGGUCCUAGAUUCCCCCAUUAUAGGAACCAUCCUCUCCAUAUCCACUGUCGGCCUUUCAAUAUUGGUGAACCUUUCAUUUUUCUAAACAAGUACCGGCCCAAAGCCAUGAAAUGCUCCGUCUGUAUUAACCCCUUUCAGUCCUGGAAUCAUUUUCAUGAACCUCCUCUGGAUCCUCAAUGCCACUCACCCCUGACUCCGGAACAAUCUGUUACACCUACCCCUAUGUCUGGUAUGCCUCAAUCCCCUCCUCCAAGUAUCCUGAAACAUCAUCCUCAAUAAUGGACACUAACAUCUUCCCAACCACUGAUAUCAGGCUAACUGGCCUGGAAUUUCAUUUCUUUGCCUUUCUCCCUUCUGAAAGACUGGACUAAAACUUCCCAUUUUCCAGUCCUCUAGAACUGUUCCAGAAUCUAGUGACUCUUAAUCAGUCUUCGGUAAUACCUGCACAAUCUCUUCAGUGACCUUUUUCUGAACCGUAAUGAACGGAGCUCAUCACCCGUCAGUGUGAGCGAGAGAUCGGGGCUGCCGGGAGUUCACACUGGAUAAGAUAAGUAUGGAGCUACUAUUGUGUUUUCUUGCAGAUAUCGUUUUGUAAAUAUUGGUAUUUUUCUUUUUACUAUUUUCAUGAAUUUUUGAUGGACCUAAUAAACACCCUUGCACUAAAGUGCUAACCGAUUCGAGCCAUUUUCUCUUUAGUCACAACCUACGUUUCUAACACAUGCCUUUUCUAUCUCCGAUUGUAACAGGUCAUACCUUCCUCAGAAAAGAUUCCAAUGAUCCAGAAAUCUGAAACCAUAUACCUGCACAAAAAAACUUGUGGUAUCUAUGUGACAUCGAGAAUAAUGAAGAACAGUUAAGGAUAUGACAUUAUCAAAGAGUAUAUAUUCUUCAAAGUAUUCAUAGGAUUAUGUCAUGGUUAGGCAGAUUCAUAAGCACAUUUACGUGAUUUGAAAUAUUCUGUUAAUGAUCGACUUUAAAACUGUAAAAAAAGAUUUGUUAUGAAAAGGCAUAUUAGCAUGAAUAAUAUGACUUGUGAUAUUAAUAUUAAGUGACCCAGACUUCCGAGAUUCCAAUGAAUCCAAUCAAAGAAAUCCCAGCCAUCACUGCAAAGUUCUAAGUAAAUUUAUUAUCAAAGUACAGAUUUGUCACCAUGGGGCUGAAGAGGAGAGAAAGGAUCUGACAUGAUUAAAUGGUGGAGCAGACUCAAUGGGUGAAAUGGCCUAAUUCUGCUCUGUCUUAUGGUCUUAUAUCCAACCCUGAGAUAUAUUUUCUUGUGGGCAUAUUCAAUAAAUAACAACCAUAAAGAUUCAAUGAAAGACAGUA